AUUGAACGCUGGCGGCAUGCCUUACACAUGCAAGUCGAACGGUAACAGGUCUUCGGAUGUUGACGAGUGGCGAACGGGUGAGUAAUGCAUCGGAACGUGCCCAGUUGUGGGGGAUAACUGCUCGAAAGAGCAGCUAAUACCGCAUACGACCUGAGGGUGAAAGCGGGGGAUCGCAAGACCUCGCGCAAUUGGAGCGGCCGAUGUCAGAUUGGGUAGUUGGUGGGGUAAAGGCCUACCAAGCCGACGAUCUGUAGUUGGUCUGAGAGGACGACCAGCCACACUGGGACUGAGACACGGCCCAGACUCCUACGGGAGGCAGCAGUGGGGAAUUUUGGACAAUGGGCGCAAGCCUGAUCCAGCAAUGCCGCGUGCAGGAAGAAGGCCUUCGGGUUGUAAACUGCUUUUGUCAGGGAAGAAAGCCUCUGGGUUAAUACCCCGGGGGGAUGACGGUACCUGAAGAAUAAGCACCGGCUAACUACGUGCCAGCAGCCGCCGUAACAC
rnacentral:rRNA from 1 species